AAACUUUUUAAAUUUUAUGAGCAUUAAUAUUAUACAAAAAUAAGUUAUAAUGCAUUAUUUUCUAUAGUUAUUGAGCUGUUGAAGAAUGAAGAAGUAAAGUGAUGGAGAAUAUUCAAAGAUGUCUAAUUCCACGUGUGCUUAAAGGAAUUCAUCUAGGAAAAUAUGGGGCACUGUGACAAUCACUAGGGACUUUCACAGAAAGAAAGAAGAAUCCCUGAUUUCGAUUGACCCAGCUGUAAAUUUUGCAUUUUUGUGGUAUAUAUAGUUCUAUUUGUCAAUUAAAUUCUCCUUCUACUUAAAUC
rnacentral:lncRNA from 1 species